rnacentral:lncRNA from 1 species
GAAACAACACGGUUAAAGUUUUAGGUUUGAAAUUUAGAGUUUGUGGCGAAAUUGUCAGGGUAUAGGAAAAAUCAGGGUAGUUAGUUAUGAAAAAAAUAUAUGCAAAUCUAAAUAUAUGUAUAUAAAAAAAAAUAUGAAUUAAAAAAAACAACGGCGUUGCUAGCGCAAAAUUGCGAUCAUCGCAACUGGAUCGGAUAACACAAAUGUCACGCCUCAUACACGUAUAUGUGAA